CUUCUAUUGCUAGUCCUAUUUUACUCAAACUUUUGUUGAUCUUAUUCUUUGAUUUUUCUGCUUUCACAUAAGUUAACUUGCUCCAAGAGUUUCAUUCUCCUUUAACAAUCCAUAUAAUAGUAGGACCAUUGUCGUGCACUGGGCCAAAUCACGAGCACACAAAUGGGCGGGAAAGUUUGAAUAGCUGAGUGAGGCAGGCGAGAGUAAAUUAUUUUUAGACAGGACUGCAUGCAUGCACGGCACGUACAACAACAACAGCAACAUCAGCAUAUUAAUGCUGCGAGAAUUAGUGACAUGUGCUCUCCAAAAACAAGACAUUCGACUGGUUUUACCUUCCUGAUAUUACUGCGUAUGAGAAAGGGAAAGGAUCAGAAUCUUCAGAAAGCUGAUAUCAGGAAACAUAGUUUGGUGGUAGCCAGGGCAAGAAUGAACCUUGUGUCGACAAAAAAUUCUAAACUUAAUCAGCCCAAUGCGUGUAUACCCUGAGCCACAAUAAUUGGAAGUGGGAUGAACAAUGUAGACCUACGUCCGAGUACACAUCACACCAUCCAUGCAGUCUAGUCAGCGAAGAAUUAACAGAGCAGCAGAUGAUGAUCAGGAGACGAUGAAGGGUCAGGUGGAUAGCAGAAUGUUGCUUGGAAGCCCGCUUGGAAUGCAUCCAGUGGUUAUCUUCUGGUGAGAGAGGUCUCAUGCGUACGGGUCCGCGGUUUACCUUGAGAAGGAAUAAGACAAUGUAAGAUGUGGACGUUGGAUUUCAUCCUACGAUGAUUAGAUAGUUCACCCGAUGCAGUCUCAUCAUGGUGAGGGAUGAUCAAGGAUCCAGUAGUUGGUGUCGGUCCACGAGUCUGAGUCAGUCCGAGGAACUAAAACGCAGGAAUAUUCCAGAGGAUGUUAAAGGUUUUUGCAAUCAGAGUGCAUUUUUAAGGCCUUCUGUACGACAAAUUGUACCCUGUUUUUAAGUGAUAUGAAAUACAUGAAUUUGAAUUUUUUUUAACAAGAAUUAUGUGUAAGUUAUUAGACACUAAGCUGCAAGGCAAUACUGAAAUACAUGUUUACUUCUCAAACGACCAUAUCUGGCAUUUUAGGGCAAAAAUUACUGUCUCGUUUUGUUUAGUUUUUCUCAUAUUUCAUGACCGCGUAUAUCGCAUGUAUCAUUAGCUAUCAUAAGACAUUGUUUUACCAAUCAGAAUUGAUUAUUGAAAUGCGAUUGUUUAAAAAAAAGCUCAUAAUGCAGAAGCUGCAGGUAACUAAUUAUUGUGACUUUUAGCUCAAUAUUGGAUAUUUUGCUAUGUCCUCUUCGGAUUCGGUAGUUUUACGAGUAGUUAUAUACACUACUUAUGAUAUUUAUGUCUCUAUGAACACUUUUACAUAAUAUUUAAUGUAACAAACUGAGAAUUAAUGAUAAAAAACAAAACUUUUUUCAAGUGAGAAAUAUGAGACGCGCAGUAUAUACUGAUUGUAAAACAACCCUUAAAGUAGGAUUCAAUGGAACAAAACUGAUCAACCAAAUCAGUUCAUCUUCCUUUCAUGAAUGCGGCAACAUUAUACUCUUGAGGAUCUGUGUCUAUAUGUGACUGGGGCUUUAAGUAACCCCAAUCACAUAUAAAUCACAACAUAAUGUACAUUCCUUAGUGUUGUGCCCAGUGGCGUACCGUGGGUCACGGCAUUGGGGGGGGGGCACCAGCAAAAAUUAUGAGUCACUUAUAGAGCGCGCGCAGUUGCUAGGUAUACUGACAUAAUAGGGACAUUUAAAGGACAGUGUCAUUAAACGGAUAUGUAUCUCACUGAUCACAUAAUGCGAGCGCAAACGGACAUUUUAAGGACUAUAUUUUAGGAAUGCAUUAAGAGUAUACAUAUCUCACCAUAGUCAUUUAAUGCGAGUACAAAGCGCUUGCUGAUAUUGUUAGAAUAAUAUACAUCUAAACACAUGAAGCACUUGUAGUCAUUGUAAUCAUGAUUAACAUACGCAUCUCACUAAUCAAAUAUUGCGAGCGCGAAGCGCGAGCUGAAAAUUUAGGAAAGUCAGACCUGAAGAGGGAUAUUUCAAGGCUUGUUUGUAGGAAUUCACGUAGAUCAUACGUAGUUCACUAACCAAAUGAUGCGAGCGCGAAGCGCGAGCUGAAAUUUUUGUAUAUAUUGACCCAAAAGAGGGAUAAGGACUAUUUAUUUUUUUAAAGGAUUCCAUUAAGAGUACAGAUAUCUCACCAUAGUCAUCUAAUGCGAGUGCCAAGCGAAUGCUGAUUUUAUUAGAAUUACAUCUAAACACAUGAAUCACUUUUUGUAGUCAUUGUUAUCAUGAUUAUCAUACGCAUCGCAGAAAUCAAAUAUUGCGAGCGCGAAGCGCGAGCUGAAAAUUUAGGAAAUUCAGACCUGAAGAGGGGCAUUCUAAGGCCUGCUUUUAGGAACUCACGAAGACCAUGCGUAUUUCACUAACCAAAUGAUGCGAGCGCGAAGCGCAAGCUGAAAUUUUUUACAUUCAGAUCAGAAAAAGGGACAUUUUAAGGACUGAUUUGAGAAAAUUCAUGAAGAACAGACAUAUCUCACCAAUCCACGAAUGCGAACGUAAGUACGGACAGGAAAUGGUUUAUAUUAAGACCUUAAAAUCGGGCAAUCACUUUAAGUAGUCAUGAAAAAAAAGUAUAUGUCACUACAUAAAACAAUAAUAAUUCGAAGUCUAAGAAAAUAUAUUUGGUGUAUAUUGACUUGAAAACGGGAGGUUUUAGUACAAGAAGAUUAUAUAUAUUGUUAAACAGACAAUGCGAGCACCAGGAACAAUGAAGACUAGGCCCUGUGCAAAUUAUGUUUCAUAAAGUUAUAAUUUAUUUAUGUAAUAUAACAUAAGAUAAUCAUAAUAUAAUAUAACAUUAUAAUUAACAAUAAUUUCUUCUUUCCCAUUACCUUUCUUUCCCUUUCUCCCUCUUUUUCUCCUUUUCCCCGUUUUUUUUUUUUUUUUUGCCAGCCGAUUGGGGGGGGGGGGGGGGCACGUGCCCCCCCCCAUGCCCCCCCGUAGUUACGCCACUGGUUGUGCCGUUUUAACAUUUUUUUUUUUUGGGGGGGGGAGGGGUGGGGGCGGAUUAAGGUCUUCAUUUACCAUGCAUUUUGACAUUGGUGGUCCACAAAAUGCAAAAGUAUAUAGCACAUUUAACAUAUCUAUGGCCCAUAUACCUACCCCCUCUCAGAUGGGCAAUUCCAUAAAAUAUGUACGUCCGACCACCUACAUGUGGGAACUUCAUGAAAUUUUCUGUCUCUGAUUUCUUGUUCUUUUGAUAGUCUGUAUUGUUCUCAAAGGACCAUGACUUGGUCAGUUUAUGAAGUGAAGUAUGACUUAAGAAAAAUGGGGGUCGGACGUACAAAAAGGUUGAUUAUUUUAUGGAAUUGCCCAGAUGUAAAUUCAUAUUAUAAAAAAAGAAUACUCUGUAAUAAGGCAAACAAUUUUACAGGCCCAUUUAUUGAAUGGGUUACAUUUUGGACAUUCAUUUCUGGAAAGUAAGGAACAAUGUAUUGUAUUAUUGAAUCCUGUUUUUAUGAAUGGAAAAUAACAAUCCUGAAAGUCCAGUUUGCCUAAUUCCUGAUUUGACCGUUAAAGGUUUAUGUGAUAUGAUUUGAAGGGCAAGUCCACCCCAACAAAAGAAGAUUUUAAUGAUCAAACAGUUAAUAUAACAUUUUUUUAUCAAAUAAAAUUAGAAAAUUAUCAGUUUGAGAGAGACAAGGGGGAUUAUAUGUAAAUUAAUGAUAGAGUCGAUAAUGUCACAACUAUUUCUUUUGUAUUUUUCUAUAGAUAAAACAUAGAUAUUUCAUUUUUUGCAGAUUUGGCAGUUUAGAAAGCAUUUUCAUUGAAUAAGAAUAAGUAUAUUGCAACAAGGAUAAUCCCAUACAUUCAAGGAAGAAUCAAAACCUUGUUCCACAUCAUGAAUUAUGAAGAUAUUUCCGAAUUUUUAUGACAAUGAUAAUAAAAUACUAAAGAAUUAGUUGUGUGGCGUCAUCAGUUUCCCCAUCUGCAUAUUAAUAUAAUGACCAGAAUUAAGCGAAACCUUAUUUUUUUACAUUCGAUUAUGAUUAUAGUGGUCACCUUGGUAAAAAGACAAGUCCACCCCAACAAAAAAUUGAUUUUAAUAAAAAGAGAAAAAUCCAACAAGCAUAACACUGAAAAUUUCAUCAAAAUCGGAUGUAAAAUAAGAAAUUUAUGACAUUUUAAUUUUUCGCUUAAUUUCACAAAACAGUUAUAUGCACAUCCUGGCUGGUAUGCAAAUGAGGAGACUAUGACGUCCCCCACUCACUAUUUUUUAUUUAUUUUAUUAUAUGAAAUAUUCUAAUUUUCUCCUCAUUGUCAAGUGAUACAACGAUUAAUUCCUCCCUAAGCAUAUGGAAUUAGCAUUGUUUAAUACUAUAUGGUUCAGUCAAGUUGGUCCUUAUCUAUAAAAAAUGAAAUAUUGUAUAAUACGAACAAUAAAAACAAAAUAAAUAGUGAGUAAUGGACAUCAUCGACUGACUCACCAAGUUGUGCAUAUCACUGUUUUGUGAAAAAUUAGCGAAACUUCAAAAAUGUUAAUUUGAUUUUUCUCUAUUUAUUCAAGUCAGCAUUUUCCUGGGGUGGACUUGACCUUUAAGAAUGCAUGUGGUAAGCCUAUUUCUGAAAUGCACUUAAAUAGUCUGAAAUAUUAGUUCAUCUGCGAAUGACAUUUUGGCUAAAUUUUAGAAUUCGUUAUUUUGUGGGUGAUUCAUAAAACCGUUUGUAAGUUACGACUGACUUUAUGUCCGACCGGUGACCCUUUCUUGUGCUAUAUGAUAUAUCCAUGCACCUAAGAACUUGCUCUACCCAUGCAUAAAGUCAUGCGCAACUUUGCGAAGAGCUUUAUGAAACACCCACCCGGGCCCCGUAUUACAAAGAUUUGCGUUUGAUUUGAUCAACCUAAACUAUGGAAAGCCAGCAAUAUCAACAUAUAAAAUGCAUAUUUGUUCAAAAUUGUUUUCUAGAUAUGAUGAACAUUCAUAUUUUUAUCGGUUUCUUGACGAUUGGGUAUGCUCCAUUUUGUUUAAAAAAUGACAUUGUGCAAAUUUGAAGUAGGAAAAUUAUGACAUUGAUGGAUUUCCAUAUAGUUGAGGUUGAUCGGAUCAAUCACAACUCUUUGUAAAAAGAGACCCUGGACAGUAAAUGAUUGUGUUACACCUCCUUUUGGCUACUUGUAUUUAUUCUUGUACUUGGUUUCAUAUCAAUCUUAACUCCUUAUCACCCCCUCUCUUUAUUUCUUCAUUUCUUUCUUUCUCUUCCUUUUUUUUUCUUUCUAUCUUUAUUUUCUUUCUUUAUUUCUUUCUCUAUCUUUCUUUCAUUCUAUCUUUCUUUCCUUCUUCUCUUUCUUUCUCUAUCUUUCUUUCAUUCUAUCUUUCUUUCUUUCUUUCUUUCUUUCCUUCUUCUCUUUCUAUCUUUAUUUUCUUUCUUUAUUUCUUUCUCUAUCUUUCUUUCAUUUUAUCUUUCUUUUUCUUUCUUUCCUUCUUUCCUUCUUCUCUUUCUUUCUUUCUUUAUUUUUUUUCUUUCUUUCUUAUCCCUCUUCUCUCCCCGUCUCUUCCCUUUUCCCUCCUUCUCUUUCCUCUCUUCUGAAGGUACUUUCACAUUUGAUUGUGCGAUCAUAUUUUGUUACAAUAUAUUUUACACAAAAUAGCAAUGCUCGCAACAGUCGCACAACUAAUAUUGAAAGCCCCUUUAAUAUAGAUGUGUACAGUGUCCCACAGAAGAGGAAACCAGUUUAUUGGGAAUAUUUUUUUUCAACAUCGGAAAACGAUCUUUCAUGGACAUCAUGAAAUCUUUUUUUUUUCAUCUUAUAAUAUCACCAAGUCCAGAGCUGCCAACCAAAAUUUUGGAUUAAAAAAAGACACAUUCUUCAUUUCUUUUUACCCUAUUUUCAAUCCAAAAUCUUAUUUCUGUUUCAAAUUUUGAAAAACAUACAAAAAAAACUAUAAUUGAUACAAGCUUGAAAAAUCCCAUUUCAAACGGAAAUAUAAUUAUUCACUUAAAAAUCCUACUACUUGGCCAGCUCUGCUAGGUUGCCAAUAGUAACAAAAUAUGAAUUUACGGGCAAAACAUAUUUACUGAUUGUGAUAUCUGACUAAAACAGGUUUCCUUUUUUGUGUGACGCACUGUACAUACAACCCUUGGAAAUAGAGUGAGCUUCAUUAAAUGCUUGUUUAAAUUAUUAAACCUAUAAUCAUUUCAGCAAAAGACGAACAAAUAUUCAAAUCGUUUUCAAUU